CUUGAACUAAUAAAAUAAACUGCCUCGGUUGGCUGAUUUGCCAGGAGAGCUCCAUUCUAUCCCAGGCAAGCUGUUCUAGGACUCAUGGCUGAAUGAGGCUCUCCUUUCUCCAGGUCACUUAUUGUCUUUGGGAAGGACAGAGCUGGUCAUUCCUAAGGGAGCUUCCUGUGACCACAAAAUAUAAGAAGCCAUUGAGACUUCCCACCCCCUACCUCCCAGGUUUCUGCUAUUCAUGUCAUCUCCAUCUCUCUCUACUGCCUACCAUUGAGCCCUCUCUUAUCCCAAAGACAAGAAGUAGAACUGCUAUAGUGCUUGAGUCUGUCAAGGUAUGCAACAUUCUGUCCCCAUAAACACCCGCCUCUCUGCUGAGAGGGGCUGAGCAUGUUUCAUUGUCGCUUUUUU